CGUCAGGGGCAGGAGAUGAUGUUCAUCGAAAUAGACAGGAAAGCCUUCGGAGCAGCUGCGAUGCCAACAGACGAACACCAGGGGGCGACCUUAUCAGCUCUGCCUCACGUCUGUUAGGUGCCCCUCUCCAGGAGCUCCUGGCACAAAGCCUUGUGUUGUCAGUUGCGAGGAAUGAUCUACAAACAACAGUUAAGUUCAAGGGCCAUGAGUCAGCACAGUCUCGAGAAGCUGAUGGGCUGUAUGAAUUGAUAACAGAGGGAGCCUGAAGAUGUAAGAAAAAGCUGCAUUCCUCAGCCCUUAGCUGGAUCCACUUUUGCCAGAAGGUAUCCAACCUCUGGUCUCUUCUAGAAAAUGAACUUUGUUGUUGAAACCUAUUUACUCUGUACGUUUGGCCCUCGAACAUGAAGACUCCUGACCACCGUGA